ACGUACGUCCUUGCCCGUCACCCUCCAAAGGCUAUCCUUUAUGUUUCCCUCCAUCGAAUCCUAGCCGCGCUCUACCUUGGGCCUCUGCUAGGUCUUGCCUCACUCGAAGAAAGCGCAGAAAUCGAAAACGCGGAGUCCAUCUGUCACUGAGGCUGGAGUGCAAUGGCGCAAUCUCAACUCACUGCAAACUCUACUGCCGAGGCUCAAGUGAUUCUCCUGCCUCAGCCUCCCAAGUAGCUGGGAUUACAGGCACGCGCCACCAUGCCCAGCUAAUUUUUGUAUUUUUAGUAGAGAAAGGGUUUUACCAUGUUGCUCAGGCUGGUCUCGAACUCCUGACCUGAAGUGAUCCACCCACCUUGGCCUCCCAAAUUGCUGGAAUUACAGACGUGAGCCACCGCACCUGGCCUACCUGGUGGAUUUGAUGUGAAGGCUCAGAUAAAGAACAAGUGUCUGGAUGGAUGGCAUUGCUAUGAAGAUAAGGAAAGCUGAGCCUGGGCCAGACACUUCGGCUCACGCCUUUAAUUCCAACACUUUGAGAGGCCAACGCUGGAGGAUUGCUUGAGCCCAAAACU
rnacentral:lncRNA from 10 species